GACGAACCGUGCAAACGUUGUUCGGAUUCACUGGGCUUAAAGGGCGCGUAGGCGGCUGGGCAAGUCUGUGGUGAAAUCUUUCGGCUCAACCGGAAAAUUGCCAUGGAUACUGCUCGGCUCGAGGGAGGUAGGGGUCGCGGGAACUGCCAGUGGAGCGGUGAAAUUCGUAGAUAUUGGGAAGAACACCGGUGGCGAAGGCGGCUCUCUGGACCGAUACUGACGCUGAGGCGCGAAAGCGUGGGGAGCAAACAGG
rnacentral:rRNA from 1 species